UACGGGGGGAGCAAGCGUUGUUCGGAUUUACUGGGCGUAAAGGGCGCGUAGGCGGCCACGACAAGUCAGUUGUGAAAUCUCUGGGCUUAACUCAGAACGGUCAACUGAUACUGUCGGGCUAGAGUGCAGAAGGGGCAACUGGAAUUCUCGGUGUAGCGGUGAAAUGCGUAGGUAUCGAGAGGAACACCUGCGGCGAAGGCGGGUUGCUGGGCUGACACUGACGCUGAGGCGCGAAAGCUAGGGGAGCGAACGGG
rnacentral:rRNA from 1 species